rnacentral:lncRNA from 1 species
CCUUCCUCAUCCAAGCAUUGAAAAUGAUAUGACUAGUCUUGUACCAUUCAACAUCAUCGGGAGUACUAAAAGAUUCUCUCAAUACUUUGAGCAUGUCUUCUGGAUGAACCUUUUCAAACUUUCGACUGAACUCAUCGUUCAUUGAGGCCUGUAUUAUACAACAAAUCAUAGUGCGGUAAUUGAGCCACUUUAAUUAAGUAUCUCGAACCAUGCCACAAAUGUU